AUUGAACGCUGGCGGCAUGCCUUACACAUGCAAGUCGAACGGCAGCAUGAUCUCUCUUGCUCGAUUGAUGGCGGGGGGCGGACGGGUGAGUCAUACAUAGGAACGUGCCCUGUUGUGGGGGAUAACUAGUCGCAAGAUUAGCUAAUACCGCAUACGACCUGAGGGUGAAAGUGGGGGGGCGCAAGGCCUCAUGCUGUAGUAGAGGCCCAGGUUUUCUUAGUUGGUGGGGGAGGUAAACGUUCACCAGGGUGACGAUCGGUUGCUGGUCUGAGAGAACGAUCGGCCACACUAGGGCUGAGACACGGCCCAGACUCCUACGGGAGGCAGCAGUGGGGAAUUUUAGACAGUGGGCGAAAGCCUGAUCCAGCAGUGCCGAGUGUGUGAAGAAGGCCUUCGGGUUGUAAAGCACUUUUGUCCGGAAAGAAAUGGCUCUGGUUAAUACCUGGGGUGGAUGACGGUACCGGAAGAAUAAGGACCGGCUAACUACGUG
rnacentral:rRNA from 1 species